CCAAACCAUUUGUAAACAACUCACUCUAAAGGAGUGUGGAAGUAGGAGAUAACAGGGGUCCAUAGACAUUACCUACUUAGUCAUAAAUGAGGAAUUGUUACAAGAUAUUUUAAGAGAGAUUGAAUCCCGUGACACAAAUCUUAGCUUAAUCACCCAUGGAUUUUCUCCACUUAUCAUAAGGGCGGUCAUUGAUAUUCUCAUUGAGAUUAUUACCUUCCAUGAGGCUUAAACCAAGCAAAACUGCUGUUCUGUAAUAAUGUAAUUUCUGGUAUUUUAAUGUGUCUUUCCCACAAUUUUAAGAUAUAUAACUAAUAAAUGAAUGGCAAAAA